AUAGAUUUUAUUUAUUAAUUUUGGUUUUUUAAAUUUUAAAUAUUAAAAAUAAUUAUAUAAUUAAAAGUUUUAGUAUUGUUUAAAGAAAAAAUAAAUAUAAUAAUAGUUUAAUAGUAUUGUAAAAGAAAAUUGAAAUAUUUUGAAAAA
rnacentral:rRNA from 1 species